CGGAAGUACGACCUGGUUGCCUCAGCUUUGGCCUGCAAAGGCUUCCUUGUGUCUCCUCCACUAGCCUACUCCGGUGAGGGAGUCAGGCAUAGUUCGGGCAGAGGCAGAAAGAGCGACUACGCGAAGAGCUUCGGUGGCAAGGUUGCUAAGGCUUCUCAUAUGCUUCAAGAGAAAGUAGUUUUCAACUGUGGAAAGGGACACCGACGGGAACGGGGGAGGGCGGAGCGAUAGUAGCCAAAGGAAUGAGCUCGCGCCAGUGCUCUCCUGGACAGCGGUGCGAGACAGGGCAGUGGUGGCCACAAAACAGGAGAAGAAUCCUGAGAAGAUGUUGCUGAUCCCAAAGGCAAUGAAUUCCUAAGGGAGAGACUGGAUGACAGUGAUGCUACACAUAAAAUCUUUGCAAGACUUCACCAAAUGUUAAGGAAGUACACCCUUUAAAACCAGUUCAGCAGAGGAGUGACCAUACCUGAUUACCAUCGAUGUUGUAAUCAUACUUGGUGGCGUAUACUUUUCCUACAGACACUGCAAUAGCAUAAGCCACCACGGCAAUGGAAAAUGAUGCCGUCAGCAUCUCAGAAAACAAGCUCACCGGUGGGAGAGCAGGAGGCAGAAACCUAAUAUUAGAAGAAAUCAUAAGACUAAUCAAAUGGGAAGGCAGCAGUUUCCUGUGGAAUAAGACUGGGAUAAGCCCGCCUGAGGAGCUUCUAUUAAGAGCAUGGAAAAACAAAGACUGGUACAAGGUCCUCAACUAGUAUUAAGAGUCACUAAAAAUUGCUAGAGGCAGAUACACUGACAGCAACAAAAUGAAGCAAGUGACAGCCUGGUGAAAAAGAAAACUACCACAAGCAGGCACAGUAACAAGAACUUAAGACAUCUAACACAGGAGCAAACAGCCCUGCCUAUGUCAGAGGCUUGAAGGUUAUCACUGCUGUAUUGCCAUCUACAUAAUCAAUUUUCUAAUGAUGACCCUCAUUAACUCAUGAACUAGGUAUAAUACUUUGGUUACUUGUUGAUACAAUAAAGGUUUACUUUUCAACUCAGAUGGAAAAAUUCAAACUCAAAAAACAGAACAUUUGGAAUGAUUAUCCCAAUCACAAGAACAUUUUCACUUUAUAAAAAUAAUCACGAUAGAUUUCCCAUUUAAUCUCUGAGAGUCACUUAGGCAUUUGAAUAAAAGGCACCUAUUGUAUAUUACAAAUGUAAUAUGAGCUGCAAAAACCAAAAUUAGUUCAUAUUACACAAUUGCACCAAGAAAGACU